rnacentral:rRNA from 1 species
CCUACGGGUGGCUGCAGUGGGGAAUAUUGGGCAAUGGACGCAAGUCUGACCCAGCAACGCCGCGUGAAGGAAGAAGUCUUUCGGGUUGUAAACUUCUUUUAAGGGGGAAGAGCAGAAGACGGUACCCCUUGAAUAAGCCACGGCUAACUACGUGCCAGCAGCCGCGGUAAUACGUAGGUGGCAAGCGUUUUCCGGAUUUACUGGGUGUAAAGGGAGUGCAGCCGGAGAGACAAGUCAGCGGUAAAAUUUCGGGGCUCAACCCCGUCGUGCCGUUGAAACUGGCGUUCUUGAGUGAGCGAGAGGUAUGCGGAAUGCGUGGUGGAGCGGUGAAAUGCAUAGAUAUCACGCAGAACUCCGAUUGCGAAGGCAGCAUACCGGCGCUCAACUGACGCUGAUGCACGAAAGCGUGGGUAUCGAACAGGAUUAGAUACCCGAGUAGUC